CAACCACUCAAGCCUUUGCUUGGUCUUGGGGUUCGCGGUCUCGCGGCUCCUAAAAUCAGUGGCGGUGCCGGUCGGCUCUACGCGUAGUAAUACUCCUCGCGACAGGGUCCGGACGGUGUCUUGCCAGCAACCCCCAAAUUUUUCA
rnacentral:misc_RNA from 1 species